rnacentral:rRNA from 1 species
UACAGAGGGUGCGAGCGUUGUCCGGAAUCAUUGGGCGUAAAGAGCGUGUAGGCGGCUCGAUAAGUCCGCUGUGAAAGUCCAGGGCUCAACCCUGGAAGGCCGGUGGAAACUGUCGGGCUAGAGUCCGGAAGAGGCGAGUGGAAUUCCCGGUGUAGCGGUGAAAUGCGCAGAUAUCAGGAGGAACACCGGUGGCGAAGGCGGGUCUCUGGGCCGAUACUGACGCUGAGGAGCGAAAGCCAGGGGAGCAAACGGG